rnacentral:rRNA from 1 species
GACGAACGCUGGCGGCGUGCUUAACACAUGCAAGUCGAACGGAAAGGCCCUGCUUUUGUGGGGUGCUCGAGUGGCGAACGGGUGAGUAACACGUGAGUAACCUGCCCUUGACUUUGGGAUAACUUCAGGAAACUGGGGCUAAUACCGGAUAGGAGCUCCUGCUUCAUGGUGGGGGUUGGAAAGUUUCGGCGGUUGGGGAUGGACUCGCGGCUUAUCAGCUUGUUGGUGGGGUAGUGGCUUGCCAAGGCUUUGACGGGUAGCCGGCCUGAGAGGGUGACCGGCCACAUGGGGACUGAGAUACGGCCCAGACUCCUACGGGAGGCAGCAGUGGGGAAUAUUGCACAAUGGGCGGAAGCCUGAUGCAGCAACGCCGCGUGCGGGAUGACGGCCUUCGGGUUGUAAACCGCUUUCGCCUGUGACGAAGCGUGAGUGACGGUAAUGGGUAAAGAAGCACCGGCUAACUACGUG